rnacentral:rRNA from 1 species
GAUGAACGCUGGCGGCGUGCCUAAUACAUGCAAGUCGAACGCUUUGUGGUUCAACUGAUUUGAAGAGCUUGCUCAGAUAUGACGAUGGACAUUGCAAAGAGUGGCGAACGGGUGAGUAACACGUGGGAAACCUACCUCUUAGCAGGGGAUAACAUUUGGAAACAGAUGCUAAUACCGUAUAACAAUGACAACCGCAUGGUUGUUAUUUAAAAGAUGGUUCUGCUAUCACUAAGAGAUGGUCCCGCGGUGCAUUAGCUAGUUGGUAAGGUAAUGGCUUACCAAGGCGAUGAUGCAUAGCCGAGUUGAGAGACUGAUCGGCCACAAUGGGACUGAGACACGGCCCAUACUCCUACGGGAGGCAGCAGUAGGGAAUCUUCCACAAUGGGCGAAAGCCUGAUGGAGCAACGCCGCGUGUGUGAUGAAGGGUUUCGGCUCGUAAAACACUGUUGUAAGAGAAGAAUGACAUUGAGAGUAACUGUUCAAUGUGUGACGGUAUCUUACCAGAAAGGAACGGCUAAAUACGUGCCAGCAGCCGCGGUAAUACGUAUGUUCCAAGCGUUAUCCGGAUUUAUUGGGCGUAAAGCGAGCGCAGACGGUUAUUUAAGUCUGAAGUGAAAGCCCUCAGCUCAACUGAGGAAU